AGGCCAAACCCCCUCCUGCUCACAGAGCCAGAGCAGACACAAGGGUAGAGCUGGACAGUGUUAGCUCUCACUUCCUUCUGCAGCCUUGACUGUGUUCCCAUGGCCUCCUCAGUCUAAAGGUUGCUUCUCUGCCUUCCACAGUCAAAGCCAACAAAUGAAAAUAAUCACUAGUGGGAGCUGGGCGGGAGUACCCAGGAUUCUGGUCAAUCACUCUUCAACUCAGAACAAGAGGAAGGCCUGCGGCAUGUCUGCUCCUGCCCUCCUCCAGCCAAGGAUGAGCUAUGUUUCACGUUCUGGCAGGCAGCAUCAUACAAAGUUCUGUUGAGUUCUGAGAUGGGUAUGACCGGAAGAAGCAACCUGGGGAGUGAAAGAAGCCCCCUGUCUUACAGGGAUACAGAGCUGUUAUUAACAGAGCCUGUGGCAUCCUUCCAGCACACAGACAUUCCCAGACAAAACCAUCCGGGCUGACCUGCUGCAGGUAAGAUCUGCACUCUGAUUUUACCAGUGAUUCAUCUACACUCUUUUGUCGAGCAUUUAAUGCCUCUCCAAGCAUCUCCACUCCUUGCAAACAAAAAAUCCAGGAGGAAAACUUUCAAAGCCAGUUUCUUCUCAGCUGCAACCCUUCCUUCCUUCCUCCUUCCCAAAACUGUCUGACUGAACUCGCAACCUGACCCCACCCUGGGCUGGGCCCUCCACACAGGCAUUGUGGCUUCUCUUGCCAGCUGCAGCCUGUGCAGACAGAAUACCUGGGAACUGCUGCCAAAACAGGAAGGUCGGCGCCUCUCAGAAGGGAGGCCUGGGGAGUAUCCGUCUCCUAGGUGACUACAGAUAAGAGAUGAAGGGGCCAGGGCUUUCCACACCUCCAGUCACAUUCCAGAGCCUUUCCCUUGUACCCUCAGUCUAUCUGAUUCAUUCUUCAUUCAUUCACUCAGCAAACAUACUGAGCACCUGCUGAUAUAAAGCCCUGUUCUGGAGCUGGGGACAAAAGGGGAUUGAGAUGUCUGUCUGUCUCCAGGGGCACCAGUGUUGCUGUGACAGGCCUCUUGGUGUAGGGGCAGCCCUGGACACCUUGGACUUCUCAGGAGCCCCCGGUGAAACCACCUCUCUGCACUCCCACCAGUAGAGUCCCGAAGAUAACAUGACAAACAAGGCAACGGAGGGUUUGGGUAGGGGACUGGGCAGUAGAUGAUGCAGCCCCAGCCCCACCUCCUGGGCCUCAUCUCUCCCUGAGCACAACAAUAUGGCUUCCAGAAAUUAGGUCCACUCUCUGGUCCCAAGGACACAUCUUGUCACAACCAACUGGAAGGUUGGCUGUGCUAACUGGCAUACCUGUUGGGCUCUGAUCUGGUGCGUGAAUAAACCUUUCAAGCCUAAAUCAUCAACACCGCCUGAGUCUGCAAAAAGCCUUCAAAAGCCUGCUCAUUACCAGUCUACAAUGGAGCAAGUCUUUAACUGGAUAGCAACUAACUUUUAUCCAUCAUGGCAAAAUCUGUGUUUUGCAAAGGGGGAUUAGGGCAGUAAUGAGGACCCCAGGCUGAGCCAGAAACCCCAGUAUAGUAGCCCAUUCAAAGGAUCCAGCCAUGAAUAGCGGUAGAGGGAAAGAGAGAAGUUCAGAGUAGGAAACCAGGAUAUGAAGGGGGUGGGGGGUAAGGAGUCAGAAAGGGAUGGAGAGAAAGGAAAAGAAAGGAAAAGAAGAUAGGAAAAAUCUAAAAGAGGGCUGCUUCCCAUCCCUUUUACCAUGGCCACAAAUUCCAGCAGAUGGUCGGCUGUCCCCACUAGGGGUCCUGUGGUCCUGUUCCUUUCUGAAUUAGCAAAACUUUCCAAGGAGUCACCUAAGAAAGUGCAGAAACUCUCACCUCUGCUGGGGUCAGACUGCCUGAGACCAACAAUAUGGAGGACUGAGGGCUGAGCAGUCUGGGAGCCAGGCCUCACCCCUGCAUUCUCCAGGAAGAGGAAUGGGGCCUGAGGACCCAGGAAGGAGCACCAGGUCCUAUCCUGAUUGACGUCAUGCCCUGCCCUGAAUUGGAUCCUGGUCAGCUGACCUUGUCUAUUCCCACAGUGCCGGAGGGAUUCGGGAACCAUGUUUUAGCCACUUCAGUACCUGGUUCUGGCUCCUCACCUAGCCUCAUAGUCCUCUGUCUCGUUCCUGCUUCCCCUUCAAGCGCUGACCCAUAAUAUCUCUGAUCAUGUAUGGGAAGGCCCAGCCGAGACUAACAGGUUCUCAGAUGCCCUUGAUCUAAAGGCGAAGGUGAGCAGUAAAGGAUUUGGUGGAGGAGAAUGGCUCCAUCACCCUUGUUCAAGGGCAUGCCAGACCACCAUGGAAUAGUGCUUUAGAGUCAGGAGCUCUGGGUUCCAAUUUCGGCUAAGCCACUUACUAUGCAAUCUUAGGAAAGUUGCAUAACAUCUCAGGGCUUCAAUGUUCUUGUCUGUAAAAUGGGAAUAACCAUCCCACCCAUAUCACUAGGUUGCUUUAAGGUUUAAUUAGAACGAUAUAUGGGAACACCUGGGUGGCUCAGUCGGUUGAGUGUCUGACUUUGGCUCAGGUCAUGAUCUCAUAGUUUGCGAGUUCGAGCCCCACAUCGGGCUCUAUGCUGUCAGCUCAGAGCCUGGAGCCUGCUUCGGAUUCUGUGUCUCCUUCUCUCUGCCCCUCCCCCACUCACACUCCUCCCUCUCUCUCUCUCUCUCUCUCUCUCUCUCUCAAAGAUAAACAAACAUUAAGAAAAAAAAUUUUUAAAGAAUAAUAUAUGUAAAGUGCCUGACAUAAAGUUGGCACUCAUUAUAAUUUUCCCACAUACAUACAUACACACGAAUAAGCAGGUUUUGUGACACAUAGGGCCCUUAGCUGAGUGCUAGCCAAAUGAGACAGGCAGAGGAAGGAGGAGCCAGUCUCUGUCCCGAGCCCCCUCUUAGAGCAAUGAAUUCUUUGGUCUUGUCUCCAGGAUUCUGCCAGUCUGAGCAGUAUGACACGUGGCCUCACCACUGUCUGGCUCUUACUCCACUGAGUUUGUGUUAGACAGCAAAGCAGAUGCUAUAUGAGCAGGGGGCCAGACAGGGGUUCUCGACCCUGGGUGUACAGUAGAAUCACCUGGAAAGUUAGAAAAUACAGCCCAAUAGGUCCCGCCCAUCGGUGCUGGGUGACUUGGUCUGGGGUGGGGCUCCCCUGUCACUUCUAAUGUGCAGGCAGCGUUGAGACCCCCAGGGAUAGAGGCUGGGUCAUCAGUUAUUCCAAGAAGACUCUAUUCCACUCUGCUGGACCAGGGAGGGCUGAGUUCCGAGGCCUGGCUUCUCAGAACUUACUUCACUUCUCUGGGUUCUUGCAUCUGUGAGAUGGAGAAAAUAACCCGGCCCAGCCUCCUUAUCUGUGAGGGUCUCAUGAGAUGGUGGGUGUGAAAGCUUUCAGUACAGCAUCACCUACUUGACCACCGUGUAAGUAAAAUGCCAAUGCCAGGAUACCAUAGACCAUUCUACACAAAGGAGUCGUGCUUCCUCCUAGUACCUCUGUGGGCAGAGAGGAAAGACUGAGCGAGCUACCCUGGGACAAGGCUCCCUGGCCCUCAGAGGCCAGAAAACAAACAGCCAGAAUCACGACUCCACACAGAGGCCACCUGGGGCACUGCAAGGCCUUCCAGGCAGGACUUGCUCCCAGGCUUUGGAAAACCCUUCCCAGCAAAGCUAUACAGAGAUGCCCUCCCACCACAGGGGGAAAGGAGCCCACAAGGAAGGCUCAGGAAGACACGUGGCUGGGAAGAUGAUGCUACAGAGUCAUGAUGGUAGCUGGGCCACUGUCUUCAUCUCAGGAAGAAAAAGGGGCCUUAGGGAAGAUGUUCCAGAGUGGGGGCACAGAUGUGCCAUCUGCACCUGCUGGCACCAGAAGAGGUCACAGUCUGCAUCACCAUCUUUCCCUUAGUGUGCGCAUUCCUGCGCAAAUAUUUACUGAACUACUAUAUGCCGGGCACCGUGCAUCCCAGGGACACCACAAGCCUUGUCCUCAGUACCCCAAGUGCAGGCUGAUUGCAAGCUCCAGGGAAGCAGCCAAAACAUUCAUGUGUUUGUUAUAUCCUGAAUGGACCAGGAAACAGUCAUCGGAAGAGAUUAUGGGGUAUGUUCUUUGGUAAAGAAUAUUAAUCUUUAGGAUACCUGCUUUGUAUGUUAGGAAUUCUAUCAGAGAGGAUUUGUUGUUGUUUAAUACGGAAAAGUGAAAAAAAAAAAGCCUCUUCUGUGAAUUAAAUUCCAUCUUAGUAUAAGUGUGGUGCUAUUGGCUUCAAAAUCGGCAUGCUGUCCCCAAGCGCCAGCCCAUCCCGGUGCUUCAUCUCCAGGCCUGACUGCCCCUGGGAGCCCUCGGCCACCACACAUCACUGCCUUCUAGUCGUCUCCACUUGGACCUCACUUGAACUCUUAUGCUGACCUCUCCCUCUCCCCCACAUCUAUUCCUGCCAGAUUCCUCCCAGAUCCCAGUAGCGCGAAGCCAUCAGCCAGUCAGCCACGUCGCUCCACUCUGCCUCAUCUCUACAUCCCACCCUGCCAUUUCAUCUGUCUUUAACCUGCCCCCUUUCCUGUCUGCAGAGGCUCUGGAGCAUCACUGCUUUCCCAGAUCACUGCAACAGCCUCUCAAAUAAGUUUCCUGCCUCCGUCCUCCACCCCUACCCCAAGCCACUGGUUUUCCAUACCGUGGCCAGAGCAGUUUUCUAAAAUGGAAAACUUAUGUCACAUUUCCCACUGCCCCAAGACAAAGCCCAGGCCCCUAAGCGUGACAGCCCAGGCUUUCAGGAGCUGGCUGCACGUGCUCUGCAGGCUCCUCUUCACACGUGCCACUCGGGGCUCUCUCAUUUUCCCAAGCACAGCAGGCUCCUGGGUCUUUGCAUGAACUGCAAGAUGUGCUUCCUUCUCUUCUUCCUCUGGCUAAAUCCUGUACUCCUUUAGCACUCAGAGCUCAGCAGGAAUCUGCUCUGGAAAACCUUCCCUGACUCAGGCUGGACUGGGAGUCCCCUCACCCCAAAAUCCUUGUCACAGGACUUGUCACUUAAUAACCGUUUACUUGUCUGGGUCUCCCGGGACGCCGUAAGAGUUAAAAUGAAAGAAAUGGCAAGGCGUGACCUACCAUGAACAAAUCUCAAAAAUAUGGGAAAAGCAAACCACAAAAUCAUUCAAUCAUCCACACUAUUUAAAUAUUUACCAGGUGAGUGGGUCCAUACGGUAUGAUAAAAUGUGUGUAAAACUUUCAAAGACUAAACAAUAAUAGAGAUCAACGGUGGUAUCUACAUAUGUUAGAAAAAUAAAAACACACGGGAGGGACAAAUAUCAGACUCAGGAUGGUGGUCGCCGGCGGGGGGGGGGGGGGGGGGAGAAAAGGGAGUGGAGCAAAGUACUACUUAAAUUGUACCUGUAACACUUUACACGUUUUUAUUUUUAAGAGAGUUCUGAAACAAAACUGGCAAAAUAUCAUCCAUUAAAUUUGGGGGAUGGGUAGAUGAGAAUCUGUUACAUUAUUUCCUGUAUAUUUGAAAUAUUUCAUCAGUACAUUUUUUAAAACUUUUAAUGAGGAACCAGAGUCUCCAAUGCCCUCGUUAAAAACCCCGGGGGGCCUGAGCACACCGCUGUGGCUGCCUGCCCCACCACACAAUCAAAAAUGCAAUCCGGUGUCAUAAACACUUUUAUCCUCACUUUUGCCAAUGAGAAAACCAAGGCUCAGAACAGGUAACCUUGCUCAAGACCACCAGAGGCUUCCAGAUUUCAGACCAUAUUCAUCGUAUACAAUUCCUACUAUUUCAUCCAAGAGAGAGCACCUAUGUCAAACGGAGUAUGUAGAGAGAAUUCUAGAUGUAGGAACAGGGCUGUAUUCAUAUGUAUUUAUGACCCAGUGAGUGAAGAUAUUUCUGGGAGAAGAGGGUGCAGGAAGGUGCAGAGUUGGAGAUGCAACCAAACAAGUAAUUUGGGGCUAGCCCGUGAAACUCAGUUAAUACAAACCCACUAGGUUUGGACUCUGUCCUAUAGGCAAUAGAAGGCCGCUGGAAAUGUUUAAGCUGGAGAGUAACCUAAGCAAAGCAUGGUUUUAGGAAAAGUAAUCUGGCUUCAGUGUACAGGAGGGUUGGUUGCCCAUAGGAGAUGGGUAGAAUCAACCAAAAGGAAGUUCCUGGAAGGAUAAAUUCAGAUCUGGAAAUCUUCUAAGUGCCCCACAUAAGAAGUGGCCUCUGCUGAUCUAAGGGGAGAAUUGUUGGUUUGAAAAGGGUAGGAAGGUUUAAGCUACACAGAGAAAUAAAAGUUCACUCCAGCUUUCCAGGCAUGGGGAAAUGGUGUAGACAUUUGGGAGAUAACCUAAUUAUUUGCUUAUUGGGUUUUUUUCAGGUGUUUUGUUUUGUUUUGUUUUGUUUUGUUUUGUUUUGUUUUGGCUAGGGGGUGAGGAGGAGAAGAUAAAUAAAGGGAAGAGGAAAAAAUGCAAGACUUCAGUUUUGCUUCUAAUUCAAGGUGAUGCUCAGACAUCCAGGGAGAAAUGGAAUGGCAGUUGGUGACAUGGGAGCUCCAUCCAAGAAAGCUGAAGAAGCAGACGACAGCAGCAGUGGUCCUGGCAGGAUCCCUCUGAAGAAGACAGCACAGAGAAAAGCAGCGCUGACAACUGACCCGUGGUCCCCUGCCUGUGUCCAGGACAAGAAGACUCAGAAAAGAGUCAAGGUAGCAUUGUGUUGAAGAAGAAAUGGGAAGAGACUGAUUCCAGUCAGCACAGGUGGUUGCCGUAGUCUGAAGGUUUGUGUACCCUCCCCUCCAAAUUCAUAUGUUGAAGCCUAAUCCUCAGUGCGAUGGUAUGUGGAGGUGGGCCUUUGGGAUGUGAUUAGGUCAUGAGGGUGGAGCCUUCUUCAAUGGGAUCAGUGCCCUUAUAAAGGAGGCCUCAGAAAGUUUCCUUGUCCUCUGGUCACAUGAGGACACAGUGAGAGGACAGCCUUCUACAAACUAGGAAGCAGGCCCUUGCAAGACAUUACAUCUGCCAGUGCCUUGAUUUUGGAUUUCCAGCCUCCAGAACUGUGAAAAAUAAAUGUCCAUUGUUUAUAAGCUACCCGGUCUAGGGUAUUUUGUUAUAGCAGCCUGAGUGGACUGAGACAGUGGUCAGUGGUGCAAGGGGGUCAGGUAUAAGAAAUGAGCAAAGGUUCUGGAUUUAAAGACCAAGAGGUCAUUGGGACCUCAAGUACAGCAUUUUCAGCAGAUGGCAGAGUCAGCCAUGCCUGACCCUUGAUCUUUUAAUAGCUCCUAACAGCAAGUUGGCCUUACAGCUGGGCAUAGGCAGACCCGGAUCCCACCCGCCAGACUCAGCACAUGAACCUGUGCCUGCCCAAGCCGUGCACUGAGCAAUAGCCCCCUCCCACGGAUGGCAGUGUACCCAGGCAGAGCAGAGCAGAGCAUGUGAAGUGGACUGGAGACUACAGACCCAUGCAAAGCAGCCAUCUUCCUAGAUAACCAAAAAGUUAAGCUUGGAGAUGCAUAAUUUCAUUUUUAAAUGCAGAACAUAGAAUUAAAAUGUGCCACAUGUCACUUUAUUUUCUAAAAUGUAUUUUAUCUAUAUUUGCCUGACUUCUAUGGCAAUAAAAUCAUUUUGGCAUGACACACAUCUUACAUAAAUGAAAAUAUAAUCCAACAAAAUGGCAUUUUAGGAGCCUUAAGCCAAACAAAUGUUUGAGAGGGCCUUAUUUAAAUUAAGUUGCUGUGCUAUUUAGCUUUUUACAGUAAUGUAGCUGUGUCUCCACAGAGCCUUGUGCAAGGAUGCUGUUUUGGAAGAGACAGGAUGGGAGAUGGGGAGAGAGAGAGGGGCCUGUGCUGACUGCUUGCAGGCCAAGGAGUCAAGAAGUGAGGAAAUGGAGAUGAAGAGUAAGAUCCAUUUUUAUAGGCAGCAUGGAGACGAAAUGAGAGACAUGACAUAGUGGCUUGAGAUGCAGGAUGAGGUGUGACAUAGGAGCCUGAGUGCAGGGAAGGAUGCACCAGGUGAAAGACACCGGACUAAAUGAAAGUCUGCACCCUGACCAUGAGUCCGCCAGCCCUGUUCCUCUGCCCUGUUCCCAGCACUGUGGCAGCCAGGCUUGUCCGAGGCAGGAGACUGGAGAGUUCUCUGGAAGACACUAACUGUACCAGAGGAAAGACCUACAGAAACUCACAUUUGGGAGACUUGGGUGAAACAGCCCAGUGUGUCACACCAUCACCCCACAGUGAAGCCUCCCACCACAACUGCCACCUCCGCUACACAGACCUUCCAAUGGCUGACCAGUGCCUCCUUAUUAAAAAUGAAUGGGGGCACCUGGGUGGCUCAGUCGGUCAGUUGAGCAUCCCAACUCUUGGUUUUGGCUCAGGUCAUGUUCUCAUGGUUCAUGAGAGCCCCAAGACGGGCUCCGUGUUGACAGUAAGGAAUCUGCCUGGGAUUCUCUCUCUCCUUCUCUCUCUGCCCCUCACCCUUCCCCAACAUUGUGCGCACAGGUGCAUGUGUGUGCACACUCUCUCUCAAAACAAAUAAAUAAACUUUAAAAAUAA